UACAGAGGAGCCAAGCGUUGUCCGGAUUGACUGGGCGUAAAGCGCACGCAGGCGGUUUGGCGCGUGGGGUGUGAAAUCUGGCCGCUUAACGGCCAGGCGCCAUCCCAUACGGCGAAACUGGAGUGAUGCAGAGGUCGAUGGAAUUGCCGGUGUAGUGGUGAAAUGCGUAGAGAUCGGCGGGAACACCCAGGGGGAAACCAGUCGACUGGGCAUCUACUGACGCUGAUGUGCGAGAGCGUGGGGAGCGAACCGG
rnacentral:rRNA from 1 species